rnacentral:lncRNA from 1 species
GCAGCCUGUACAAACAUCAUGUGGCCAUCACAGUCAGAAAGACUCUCCGCACAUCUAGCCUUGGUCUCUCCCGCUGAGGCCCAAAGCACCAGGUGACACCCUGGGAACAGCUAGGCCCCUUCCUGAGACUCUCGGACCCAAUGGCCUGGCCGCUGCUCCUGCCUCACUGACCUCCGGGCCUCUGUCCAGGAGUCUCAGGCCUUCUAAGCAGCCCACAAAGGCACAGCUCUGGACGUUCACCAGCAUCUUGGGCGAGUGCCCUCCUGGUGGUCACCUGUCCCUCUGAGCAGCCAGCAGCACAAGGGGAAAUAAGGAGUUGGCAGCUUUUCCCAUGAGAUUUGCAGCUGGGGCGACCCCAUUGGAUAUGACUCUUGUCUGCCAUUCUUUCUCACCCAGAGCCAGCAGACACAGUACCCUGGAGUAGCUUCUCGGCAUUCAUGGAGAGCUCUCCUCUGCCGGCAGCAGUAUUUGGUGGUAGAUAAAGACCCUGUCUUCAGGGGGCGGAAAACUGAGUAGGGGAAAUAAGAUAGGAAUACCACUACUCG